rnacentral:rRNA from 1 species
AUACGGAGGAUGCAAGCGUUAUCCGGAUUUAUUGGGUUUAAAGGGUGCGUAGGCGGUUUGCUAAGCGGGAGGUGAAAUGCCGGCGCUCAACGUCGGAAGUGCCUCCCGAACUGGUGGACUGGAAUGACUCUGCCGUGGGAGGAAUGUGUAGUGUAGCGGGGAAAUGCUUAGAGAUUACACAGAACACCGAUUGCGAAGGCAUCUCACGAAGGGUUGAUUGACGCUGAGGCACGAAAGCGUGGGGAUCAAACAGGAUUAGAUACCCUGGUAGUCCACGCAGUAAACGAUGAUGGCUAACCGCUGGUUUAUUCGGAUCAGUGGCCAAGCGAAAGCGAUAAGCCAUCCACCUGGGGAGUACGACCGCAAGGUUGAAACUCAAAGGAAUUGGCGGGG